CUGAACUUGGGCCAACGUCAGGGAAAGGAUUCUGCUGUCGGUCCCACUCCAAAGUUCGAAACAUGGGUGGUGGGCACAGAAUCCGGCCUCUGCUGUGGCACACGCCGCCUGCUC
ensembl:miRNA oar-mir-541 oar-mir-541